rnacentral:rRNA from 1 species
UAUACGACUCUCGGCAAUGGAUAUCUCGGCUCUCGCAUCGAUGAAGAGCGCAGCGAAAUGCGAUACGUGGUGUGAAUUGCAGAAUCCCGCGAACCAUCGAGUCUUUGAACGCAAGUUGCGCCCGAGGCCAACCGGCUGAGGGCACGUCUGCCUGGGCGUCAAGC